rnacentral:rRNA from 1 species
AUUGAACGCUGGCGGCAGGCCUAACACAGGCAAGUCGAGCGAGCGGCGGACGGGUGAGUAAUGUCUGGGAAACUGCCUGAUGGAGGGGGAUAACUACUGGAAACGGUAGCUAAUACCGCAUACCAUCAGAUGGGCCCAGAUGGGAUUAGCUAGUAGGUGGGGUAACGGCCCACCUAGGCGACGAUCCCUAGCUGGUCUGAGAGGAUGACCAGCCACACUGGAACUGAGACACGGGCCUGACUCCUACGGUGUGCAGCGGUGGGGAAUAUUGCACAAUAGGCGCAAGCCUGAUGCAGCCAUGCCGCGUGUGUGAAGAAGGCCUUCGGGUUGUAAAGCCCUUUCAGCGGGGAGGCGUUACCCGCAGAAGGAGCACCGGCUAACUCCGUGCCAGCAGCCGCGGUAAUAC